rnacentral:rRNA from 1 species
UUUAAAAUGAGAGUUUGAUCCUGGCUCAGGACGAACGCUGGCGGCGUGCCUAAUACAUGCAAGUCGAGCGAGCGGAACUAACAGAUUUACUUCGGUAAUGACGUUAGGAAAGCGAGCGGCGGAUGGGUGAGUAACACGUGGGGAACCUGCCCCAUAGUCUGGGAUACCACUUGGAAACAGGUGCUAAUACCGGAUAAGAAAGCAGAUC